CGUUCUCCGUUUGCCCUACUAUCCAUCCAGUUGGGCAAGUGAUUCCGCUCCGUCAACAAUCGUUUCGAUCCGUCUCUCCCUUUCUGCUUCCUUUUUUGUUUGACCAGUGAAAGACCCCCUUGUUCAAUAUUCGAAAAUCCAGUGGUCUAUAGUUUUUCAAAUUCAAUCUAGUCGUUUAAUUAAGUGCGCAAAAAGUGCAACAUUAUUCCUUUUUCUACCAGAAGUGAGGAAAUUAAGUGAUCCAAUCAAAUAUACGAGAUAGUUUGUCUAAUUCUGACCGAUCGAGUCUCACGUCUUACAUCAUUGGAACGCUCGGCCUUGAUUGGAACGGCAGACAUGACUAGAUAGAUCAAUUGUUUUGGAGUCCCAACUGUCGGCCAGCGUAACCAUCCAGCCACCGACAUGGAUUACAUCAGAGAAUUCGACAUCCGUUUGGAGAAGGAAAUGUACUACGCAGGCGAAACAGUCUAUGGCGUUGUCAUCCUUGACACCUCAGAAAAUUUCAAACUAAGAGCUGUCCGUGUAGUGCUGCGAGGAAGAGCUCAUCUGGAAUGGAAGGUGGUGGUUUCCGGCGAUCAACAGUCCAUUAGCGACGAUCAGUAUUUUAUCGACGAACGAUCAACUAUCUGGGGAAAAGAGAAAGCCGACGGAUCCAUCCCAGUAUUACCGCGAGGUUAUCAUCAGUUUCCCUUCCACUUUUUGUUGCCGGAGAGCUGUCUGCCCUGCUCCUUCGAGAGCAAGAUAGGCACCGUGCGAUAUUACAUCAAGGCUACGGUUGAUAUUCCGUACGCGUCUCCGCCGCAAGGCAUGAAGUAUUUCACCAUUAUCGGACCACACAUCGACUGUAUGGAAGAACAAUACCUGAAACCACUGAGUCGACGGAGAAAGCGAAUUUCUUGUUGUCUUUGCUGUAAGAAAGGUCCGCUAUCGCUCAGUGUUCAACUCGACAGAUCUGCUUACGUCAGCGGUGAAAGCUUACGCUUAAAAGCUGACAUCCACAACCGCAGCUCUGAAGAAGUGCGACUUCGGCUACGCCUCAUUCAGUACGUCGAGUAUACUAUUCAUAGAGGAGUUCUCGGUGCUAACAAAGAGUUGCAACACGUCGUGCUGGAGUAUCGGGGUGAUCCAGUGCAGCCUGGAAGACGUUCUAAAUUUGAUUCAUCACAGUCACUGGUGUUGCCAGCCUUACCAACGACGCUAGUUGGCGUCUGUCGAAUGAUCAACGUCUAUUACGCCCUUCACGUCAGCUUGCUCCUGGAAUCGGAGGCGGAGGAUUUAACAAUGGAAUUCCCUGUAACAAUAGCCACCGUACCAUUUCGGAUUCCUAACUCGCCUAACCAGCCAGUAGUUUAUUACGAACCAGCGUGUGAACAUGUAGAAGGAGGACGAUAUGUCGGACCAGAGUUCCAGCUCGGCCAAGUUUACGAUGGUGGACCAGCCAAUUGUGAAGCUGACGUGGUUCUUUAUCGUCCCGUUUAUGUUUGCGUCAGCUCGUUGCGGAGUCACCUGAAAACGGGAAACAAUUUUGCCGCCAGUUGUGCAAAGCUGACGCAACAGAACAGCAAAGAUCGCAACACGCUAUUAGCUGCCACUGCAUCGAUCGUUUCCAGUUCUCCUGUCACAAAAGCAGCUAUUACUGAAACAGCCAACGCGGGCCACUCAGCGAAUGACGCAGCACCAGCAAUUUCUCACGAUUCCUGACGCUCCGAUGACAUAAUGAACGGUUUCACGACAGCUAAUCAUCGGUUCCAUUAAGUAAAGAAGAAAACUCGCCAUCUGUCAAUCCCGCACAAAGACGAAUGCAUUUGCAAUUCAAAUGAAUGCCCUGCUAAAAGCCGCAACUGACGUAACAACAAAAGAAAAACUAAUUAUUAUCGCGUAAUGGCCAAGUCGGUUGGACGGCACAUCCGCUUUUAUCCUUAAAGCUUAAAGGCCCUACCACACAAACAAAAGUAACAUAUGCAUAUACAAAUAGAUGAAGGACCCAAGGUGAUUGCAAAUCUGUUGUCCUGAUUGCAGUUUUCAACUGUUGCAUAACCAGCAGCGUGCAAAUAUGUGAAUUAGUUGUUCGUUAUUAUCGUUUUGUUUUGUACACAAAUGGCAUAUGUCUCUCAUUUCCAUAACAGUUACAUUUUAGACAGCCUUGCUUCACGGGAGUGGUAAGUCAGUGAGUACGAGCGACAGAACUAAUACUACUCUACUAGCACCCAACAAAAAAGGAUAUCGGACCUGGGCCGGCCCUCGUUUCGAAAAAAAAAAAAAAAUCCAGUUCAUCGGCUAUCACCGAAUUGAGCAGUUUUGCACUCACUUUGCAAACAACUAAACAAAAAAAACCAAAAAAAUUUCCUAUUUUUUACCAUUUUUUUUUUUAAAGCGUACUAUUAAUGAUGAAACGCUGUUAUGAAUGUAUAUGGACGCUAUGAGCCUUCACGGCCGCGAUUUGAAUCGUUAAUCGUCUUAGAUAUAUUACCCAUGUAAGUCGGUUCUUUACAGGCCAGACUCUCAUUCUUUUCUUCAAAACUCUUUUUACUUUUAUCUUUUCACUAUUCGAAUGUUGCACAUAUACCUUCGUUUUAAUAUGAGUUCCCAAGUUUUCCGUUUUACAUUUGCAUUUCAGUCGUGAAUACAAUCGGACGAUUUAAUAUUUAA
rnacentral:misc_RNA from 1 species